UCGCUUCACUGGGGGUGGAGUUAGUGAAUAAACGGCAGAGAUGUGAGCUGGGAAAUGACUUCCCGUCCCUUCUGCCCUCCCAGAGUGCUCCUUAGUCUUUCGUGUGGUUCAAGUCAGCUGCCAUCCCGUAAGAAAGAGAAACCAGACACGAGAAGUUCAGUGUAUUACAGGACGACCACAACACAGUGGUGGCGGCAAGGAAAGACAAAUCACCACCGUGAACAACAACAUCAUCCCUGCCCUCACCGGAUGCUGUGAAUCACGAGCUCACCGAUUCCCAUAAGCAGAGGACCUACUUUAACACGUCCCUAGGGUGGGUUGACAUACGAACCACACAGCCAAACAACUGAAGGCAGCUGAAGAAAACGCCAAUGAAGAGAGCUCUGCAGAACAUGUUCACUUAGUGGAAACGGUAAGACGUGUGCGUGCCCACAGACACACGCAGAAGGACGGGCAUCACCAAAAACAAUAAACCCUAAAGUCAGAUCUA
rnacentral:lncRNA from 1 species